rnacentral:rRNA from 1 species
CUUUGGUUCUAUUUUGUUGGUUUCUAGGACUAAAGUAAUGAUUAAUAGGGACAAUUGGGGGCAUUCGUAUCAACACGCUAGAGGUGAAAUUCUUGGAUUGUGUUGCGACGAACUACUGCGAAAGCAUUUGCCAAGGAUGUUUUCAUUGAUCAAGAACGAAAGUAAGGGGAUCGAAGAUGAUUAGAUACCGUCGUAGUCUUUACCACAAACUAUGCCAACUAGAGAUGGGGCAUCGUUCAAUACGACUUGCUCCGCACCUUAUGAGAUAUCAAAGUCUUUGGGUUCCGGGGGGAGUAUGGUCGCAAGUCUGGAACUUAAAGGAAUUAACGGAAGGGCACCACCAGGAGUGGAGCCUGCGGCUUAAUUUGACUCAACACGGGGAAACUCACCAGGUCCAGACAUAAUAAGGAUUGACAGAUUGAUAGCUCUUUCUUGAUUUUAUGGGUGGUGGUGCAUGGCCGUUCUUAGUUCGUGGAGUGAUUUGUCUGCUUAAUUGCGUUAACGAACGAGACCUUAACCUGCUAAAUAGGAGCGUCUAUCUUCGGAUAAACGCCUUUCUUCUUAGAGGGACUUUGUGCGUUUCAGCAUGAGGAAGUUUGAGGCUAAAACAGGUCUGUGAUGCCCUUAGAUGUUCUGGGCUGCACGCGCGCUACACUGAUGCGUUCAACGAGUGUACAACCUUGCCCGAUAGGGUUGGGUAACCUUCUGAACACGCAUCGUGAUGGGGAUAGAUCAUUGCAAUUA